AACAGAGUUUGUUCCAGACGGGCAUCAUACAAGCAGACGGACAAACAAACCAUCAGAUUCACUUUCAGACCAAACACAGUCCAACUACAGGAGAGAAAAGAGGAAAAUCAGACACGGCUGCUUCGAACUGCUGACAUUCAACACACUGAAUACUAAAUGGCUUCCAGAUCAGAGGAAGAUUACUGCUGUCCAGUCUGCCAGGAUGUCUACAGAGAUCCUGUUGUUCUGUCCUGCAGCCACAGCUUCUGUAAAGUCUGUCUGAAGAACUGGUGGAAAGAGAAACGGAUCAGGGAGUGUCCAGUUUGUAAGACACUAUCGUUACACAGUGAUCCACCUCGUAAUCUGGCCUUAAAGAAUCUCUGUGAGUCGUUCUUACAACAGAGAAAUCAGACAAAUUCAGAGUCUGUCUGCAGUCUGCACUUAGAGAAACUCAAACUCUUCUGUCUGGAUCAUCAGGAGCCAGUUUGUCUCAUCUGCAGAGACUCAAAAAUACACAACGACCACAGAUUCAGACCCAUCGAUGAAGCUGCUCAGGAUCUCAGAGAGGAGCUCCAGAACUCCUUAAAACCCUUAAAGGACAAGUUACAGUCUUUAAAUGAAGUGAAAGAGGAGUUUGGUGGAACAGCAGAACACAUUGAGGUCCAGGCCCGACACACAGAGAGGCAGAUUAAGGAGCAGUUUAAGAAGCUCCACCAGUUUCUCCAAGAGGAAGAGGAGUCCAGGAUCAGAGCUCUGAGGGAGGAAGAGGAGCAGAAGAGUCAGAGGAUGAAGGAGAAGAUGGAGGCUGUGAGCAGAGAGAUAGCAGCUCUGUCACAAACAAUCCGAGCCACAGAGGACGAGCUGAGAGCUGAACACGUCUCAUUCCUGCACAAAUACAAGGCUGCAGUGGAAAGAGUGCAGCAGCGCCCCCUGCUGGAGGAUCCACAGCUGGGCUCAGGAGCUCUGAUAGACCAGGCCAAACAUCUGGGAAACCUGAGCUUCAACAUCUGGAACAACAUGAAGGACAUGGUCUCCUACACUCCUCUGGUUCUGGACCCAAACUCUGCAGGUCCAAACCUCAUCCUGUCAGAAGAUCUGACUGAGGUGAGGGAAGGAGAAGAACAGAAGCUUCCACAGAAUCCAGAGAGGUUUGAAUAUUUCUGGGUCCUGGGCUCUGAGGGUUUUAACUCUGGGACUCACAGCUGGGAGUUCAAUGUCACAGACAAUAUGAGGUGGAGAUUGGGUGUAAGAACAAAGUCUGACCAGGGGAAGAAAGAUCAGGAUGAAAGGUGGGGGAUCACAUUCUUCAGUGAUAAAUACUGUAUAACAUCAUCAUCAUCAGGUGAACCCACUUUUCUCCCAGUUCAUAAAAUGUUUGAGAGGAUCAGAGCGAAUCUGGACUUUGACAGAGGAACACUGUCCUUCUCUGAUCCUGAUACAAACACACACAUUUACACCUACACACACACUUUCACUGGAAAAACACUGUUUCCAUAUAUUUACACUGGUUACUCAAACCCAGUGAAGAUUUUGCCUCUGAAGGUCUGUGUGACAGUGAAACAGCUCAAUUAGAGAUGAAGGUGAAGAUGAUGAAGUUAAGACUUUUGUCUUGAAUAACAACAGAAUAUAAAUGUACACAGUGACUGAAGUUGUGAUUGUUCAGUGGAUCAAUAAUGGACAGUCAGAGGAGAGUUUUACAGUUUCCACAGGUCUAUUUGUGUUUCGAAUGCUGCACUGUGGAGCUGAUCAGUAAACUAGACAUACUUAUUUAAUGCAUCCUCUGUCUUUGUUCAGGUAUGAAAUGUUCCAACUCAAGGAAAACUGUACAAAAACAAACAUAAACUUUUCAAAUCUUCUGUAAUUCAGUCACUUAAAUAAGAAAAGUGCUGGUCAGCUGAUGUUUCCAGUGUGUAUGAUAAAGUGCUAUUGCACAUAUACACUGGUUUAUGAACAUUUAUCCAAUAGAUUUGUAAAUGUUCUAGUAUAUAGAACCUAAAGAAGGGAAUAUACUCUAAUGUACAGUGUUUUGAAGUAGAUCUGGUAGCUCUGACACAAACAUUCCUUUGGACUAAAACCCAUUCACUCAUUAAUUCUCACUAUUUCACAUUUUAACCCAAGAACAUAUUUAGAAACUACAGCCAACCAGCAUUUGGACUGAAUUUGUCUGUAUUAGUGAGUCACUACUUUUAUUAUGGAGGCAUCUAAUGUUCAGACCAGGGUUAUUAGAGAGUCCACAUACACAGAUGAGACCAGAAUGACUUUUGGGGAAGAAAAAAGCAAAAACCAUUUUUAUG